AGAGUUUGAUCCUGGCUCAGAUUGAACGCUGGCGGCAUGCCUUACACAUGCAAGUCGAACGGCAGCACGGGAGCAAUCCUGGUGGCGAGUGGCGAACGGGUGAGUAACAUAUCGGAACGUGCCCAGUUGUGGGGGAUAGCCCGGCGAAAGCCGGAUUAAUACCGCAUACGACCUGAGGGUGAAAGCGGGGGAUCGCAAGACCUCGCGCAAUUGGAGCGGCCGAUAUCAGAUUAGCUAGUUGGUGGGGUAAAGGCCUACCAAGGCGACGAUCUGUAGCUGGUCUGAGAGGACGACCAGCCACACUGGGACUGAGACACGGCCCAGACUCCUACGGGAGGCAGCAGUGGGGAAUUUUGGACAAUGGGCGCAAGCCUGAUCCAGCCAUGCCGCGUGCGGGAAGAAGGCCUUCGGGUUGUAAACCGCUUUUGUCAGGGAAGAAACGGUCUGAACUAAUACUUUGGACUAAUGACGGUACCUGAAGAAUAAGCACCGGCUAACUACGUGCCAGCAGCCGCGGUAAUACGUAGGGUGCAAGCGUUAAUCGGAAUUA
rnacentral:rRNA from 1 species